ensembl:lncRNA
GGGGAUUUUCGAGGAGAAAAUGUGUGAUUUUGGGGUAAAAUGGGAAAUUUUCGAAGAGAAAAUGCGUGAUUUUUGCUUAAAUGCAUGAUGUUUUUUGUUAAAUGGGGGAUUUUUGAGGAGAAAAUGCAUGAUUUACCCUUAAAUUGGGUGUUUUUGAGGAGAAAAUGCGUGAUUUUCCAAAUAAUUGGGGAUUUUUGAAGGGAAAAUGGGUGAUUUUUGGGUUAAAUGGGGGAAUUUUGAAGAGAAAAUGUGUGAUUUUCGGGUUAAAUGGGAGAUUUUCGAAGAGAAAACGGGUGAUUUUCGCUUAUAUGCGUGAUUUUUUAUUUAAAUGUUGGAUUUUCGAAGAGAAAAUGCAUGAUUUUCCCUUAAAUGGGGGGCUUUCGAGGAGAAACUGAGUGAUUUUGGGGUAAAAUGGGAAGUUUUCGAAGAGAAAAGGGGUGAUUUUCCCUUAAAUGGGGGAUUUUUGAAGAGAAAAGGGGUGAUUUUCACUUCAAUGUGGGAUUUUCGAAGAGAAAAUGGGUGAUUUUUGCUUAAAUGGGGCAUUUUCGUCGGGAAAAUGGGUGGUUUUCGAGUUAAAUCUGGGAUUUUUGAAGGGAAAAUGGGUGAUUUUCGGGUUAAAUGGGGGAUUUUUGAAGAGAAAAUGGGUGAGUUUUGCUUAAAUGGGGCAUUUUCGUCGGGAAAAUGGGUGAAUUUCGAGUUAAAUCUGGGAUUUUUUAAGGGAAAAUGGGUGAUUUUCGGAUUAAAUGGGAGAAUUUUGAAGAGAAAAUGGGUGAUUUUGGGGUUAAAUGGGAGAUUUUCGAAGAGAAAACGGGUGAUUUUCAAUUAAAUGCGUGAUUUUUUAGCUAAAUGUUGGAUUUUCGAAGAGAAAAUGCAUGAUUUACCCUUCAAUGGGGGAUUUUCGAGGAGAAAAUGGGUGAUUUUGGGGUAAAAUGGGAAAUUUUCGAAGAGAAAAUGCGUGAUUUUUGCUUAAAUGCAUGAUGUUUUUUGUUAAAUGGGGGAUUUUUGAAGGGAAAAUGCAUGAUUUUCCCUUAAAUGGGGGAUUUUUGAGGAGAAAAUUCGUGAUUGUCCAAAUAAUUGGGGAUUUUUGAAGGGGAAAUGGGUGAUUUUCGGAUUAAAUGGGGGGAUUUUGAAGAGAAAAUGGGUGAUUUUCGGGUUAAAUGUUGGAUUUUUGAAGAGAAAACAGGUGAUUUUCGCUUAAAUGCGUGACUUUUUAGCUAAAUGUUGGAUUUUCGAAGAGAAAAUUCAUGAUUUACCCUUAAAUGGGGGAUUUUCGAGGAGAAAAUGCGUGAUUUUGGGGUAAAAUGGGAAGUUUUCGAAGAGAAACGGGGUGAUUUUCACUUAAAUGGGGGAUUUUUGAAGAGAAAAUGGGAUAUUUUUGGCUUAAAUGGGGCCUUUUUGAAGCGAAAAUGUUCGGUUUACGCUUUAGAUGGUGUAUUUGGAUUUUUGGGAUAAAUGGGGGAUGUUCGAAGAGAAAGUGCAUGAUUUACCCUUAAAUGUUGGAUUUUCGAGGAGAAAAUGUGUGAUUUGGGGGUAAAAUGGGGGAUUUUUGAAGGGAAAAUGCGUGAUUUUUGCUUAAAUGCAUGAUGUUUUUUGUUAAAUGGGGGAUUUUUGAGGAGAAAAUGCAUGAUUUAUUCUUAAAUGGGGGGUUUUUGAGGAGAAAAUGCGUGAUUUUCCAAAUAAUUGGGGAUUUUUGAAGGGAAAAUGGGUGAUUUUCGGAUUAAAUGGGAGAAUUUUGAAGAGAAAAUGGGUGAUUUUGGGGUUAAAUGGGAGAUUUUCGAAGAGAAAACGGGUGAUUUUCGCUUAAAUGCGUGAUUUUUUAGCUAAAUGUUGGAUUUUCGAAGAGAAAAUGCAUGAUUUACCCUUAAAUGGGGGAUUUUCGAGGAGAAAAUGUGUGAUUUUGGGGUAAAAUGGGAAAUUUUCGAAGAGAAAAUGCGUGAUUUUUGCUUAAAUGCAUGAUGUUUUUUGUUAAAUGGGGGAUUUUUGAGGAGAAAAUGCAUGAUUUACCCUUAAAUGGGGUGUUUUUGAGGAGAAAAUGCGUGAUUUUCCAAAUAAUUGGGGAUUUUUGAAGGGAAAAUGGGUGAUUUUUGGGUUAAAUGGGGGAAUUUUGAAGAGAAAAUGUGUGAUUUUCGGGUUAAAUGGGAGAUUUUCGAAGAGAAAACGGGUGAUUUUCGCUUAAAUGCGUGACUUUUUAGCUAAAUGUUGGAUUUUCGAAGAGAAAAUUCAUGAUUUACCCUUAAAUGGGGGAUUUUCGAGGAGAAAAUGCGUGAUUUUGGGGUAAAAUGGGAAGUUUUCGAAGAGAAACGGGGUGAUUUUCACUUAAAUGGGGGGUUUUUGAAGAGAAAAGGGGUGAUUUUUGCUUAAAUGGGGCAUUUUCGGCGGGAAAAUGGGUGAUUUUCGAGUUAAAUCUGGGAUUUUUGAAGGGAAAAUGGGUGAUUUUCCCUUAAAUGGGGGGUUUUUGAGGAGAAAAUGUGUGAUUUUCCAAAUAAUUGGGGAUUUUUGAAGGGAAAAUGGGUGAUUUUCGAGUUAAAUCUGGGAUUUUUGAAGGGAAAAUGGGUGAUUGUCGGGUUAAAUGGGGGAUUUUCGAAGAGAAAACAGGUGAUUUUCGCUUAAAUGCGUGAUUUAUUAGCUAAAUGUUGGAUUUUCGAAGAGAAAAUGCAUGAUUUACCCUUAAAUGGGGGGCUUUCGAGGAGAAACUGCCUGAUUUUGGGGUAAAAUGGGAAGUUUUCGAAGAGAAAAGGGGUGAUUUUCACUUAAAUGGGGGAUUUUUGAAGAGAAACGGGGUGAUUUUCACUUAAAUGGGGGAUUUUUGAAGAGAAAAGGGGUGAUUUUUGCUUAAAUGGGGCAUUUUCGUCGGGAAAAUGGGUGAUUUUCGAGUUAAAUCUGGGAUUUUUGAAGGGAAAAUGGGUGAAUUUUGCUUAAAGGGAGCAUUUUCGAAGAGAAAAUGAAGGAUUUUCGCUUAAAUGCGUGAUUUUUGAGACAAAUGGGGGAUUUUCGAAGAGAAAAUGCAUGAUUUUCCCUUAAAUGGGGCAUUUUCGAGGAGAAAAUGGCUGAUUUUCGGGUUAAAUGGGGCAUUUUCGUCAAGAAAAUGGGUGAUUUUUGAGAUAAAUGGGGAUGUUCGAAGAGAAAGUGCAUGAUUUACCCUUCAAUGGGGGAUUUUCGAGGAGAAAAUGUGUGAUUAUUGCAGAAAUGGGGCAUUUUCGAAGAGAAAAUGCGUGAUUUUUGCUUAAAUGCAUGAUGUUUUUUGUUAAAUGGGGGAUUUUUGAGGAGAAAAUGCAUGAUUUAUCCUAAAAUGGGGGAUUUUUGAGGAGAAAAUGGGUGGUUUUCAGGUUAAAUGGGGGAUUUUCGAAGAGAAAAUUGGUGAUUUGCGGGUUAAAGAGGGGAUUUUCGAAGAGAAAAUGGGUGAUUUUUGCUUAAAGGGGGCAUUUUUGAAGAGAAA